CUCAUCGCAUCCUGGGGCUGUAUUCGGUCCCAAGGGUUUGGCUGUUCGCCAAUUAAAGCGGUACGCGAGCUGGGUUCAGAACGUCGUGAGACAGUUCGGUCCCUAUCUGUCGUGGGCGCAGGAUAUUUGAAGGGAGCUGUCCUUAGUACGAGAGGACCGGGAUGGACGCACCUAUGGUGCACCAGUUGUCACGCCAGUGGCACGGCUGGGUAGCCAAGUGCGGAAUUGAUAAACGCUGAAGGCAUCUAAGCGUGAAACAAACCCUGAGAUUAGAUAUCCCAUCCGCAAGGAGUAAGACCCCUUGAAGACUACAAGGUUGAUAGGUCGGAGAUGUAAGCGCAGUAAUGCGUUAAGUUGACCGAUACUAAUAGGUCGAGGACUUGACCUU
rnacentral:rRNA from 1 species